AUACGUAGGGGGCGAGCGUUGUCCGGAAUGAUUGGGCGUAAAGGGCGCGUAGGCGGCCCGGUAAGUCUGGAGUGAAAGUCCUGUUUUUAAGAUGGGAAUUGCUUUGGAUACUGUCGGGCUUGAGUGCAGGAGAGGUAAGUGGAAUUCCCAGUGUAGCGGUGAAAUGCGUAGAGAUUGGGAGGAACACCAGUGGCGAAGGCGACUUACUGGACUGUAACUGACGCUGAGGCGCGAAAGUGUGGGGAGCAAACAGGAUUAUACCCUGGUAGUCCACACUGUAAACGAUGAAUGCUAGGUGUAGGGGGUAUCGACCCCUUCUGUGCCGCAGUCAACACAAUAAGCAUUCCGCCUGGGGAGUACGGCCGCAAGGUUGAAACUCAAAGGAAUUGACGGGG
rnacentral:rRNA from 1 species